AGCAGCCGCGGUAAUUCCAGCUCCAAUAGCGUAUAUUAAAGUUGUUGCAGUUAAAAAGCUCGUAGUUGAAUUUCGGGGUUAGUAGGUUGGUCAUGCCUCUGGUAUGUACUGGUCUCACUGAUUCCUCCUUCCUGAUGAGCCGUAAUGCCAUUAAUUUGGUGUCUUGGGGAAUCAGGACUGUUACUUUGAAAAAUUAGAGUGUUUAAAGCAGGCUCGCGCUCGAAUACAUUAGCAUGGAAUAAUGAAAUAGGACGUUUGAUCCUAUUUUGUUGGUUUCUAGGAUUGACGUAAUGAUUAAUAGGGAUAGUUGGGGGCAUUAGUAUUCAAUUGUCAGAGGUGAAAUUCUUGGAUUUAUUGAAGACUAACUACUGCGAAAGCAUUUGCCAAGGAUGUUUUCAUUAAUCAAGAACGAAAGUUAGGGGAUCGAAGACGAUCAGAUACCGUCGUAGUCUUAACCAUAAACUAUGCCGACUAGGGAUCGGAUGAUGUUAAUUUUUAAUGACCCAUUCG
rnacentral:rRNA from 1 species